GUAGUAAAUGAACUUCCCUACCUACAUUAGUAUACAGUGUAUAUCUAGUAAAUACAAAUAUCAAAUAACUAUAUUUACUUCCUUCUAGAACUUAAGUUAGGAUAAAGGUCACCAAUUCAUUAACAACAAAGUAUAAGCAACAUAUCCGUAAUUGCCACACACUACUUGAAUUUUCUUAAUUUUUUUUUUUAAUUCGAUUCUCGUUAAGUAUUCAUAGGGGGACGUCUGUAUGUUGUGGUGAACAAUUACAGAAGUCAGUUGGAUUAAAUGUGGUUGCUGUUGCUAGAUUGGAUUGAUCAGUGUGCUGGAUGAUUGAUCGGAGCAUUGCACGGUUAGCAUGUAAUUACUACCUUAAAGUCUCUUUCUCUAGAUCUCUUCAACAAGUCGAGACAUCACAAUGACGUAAAUGUAAACCAAUUGCGUGUAAAAUAAUGCAAACUUAAAUCUGACGCUUAUAAUAAAGGAGAUGAUUUCAUGCGUGAUGAGUGAAACCUUUGAACUGAACUCAACUGGAAAAUACCAAUUCUGUCCUUGAAACUUGAUCCACUAGUGAAUUGGUUGCAGUAUUGCCAUCUUAAAUUAUAAAAACAAUUUUUUUACUUUACUAUUGUACUCUCAUUUAAUACAUUUUUUAUAUAUGAUUUCUUAUUUUUGUUAUGAUUACAUAAAAUACAAAUUUGCAAAAAAAUAAAAUAAAAUGAAAACUUAAAAAAUGAAAAAAAAAAAGAAAAA